UCGCCUGCGGCGGAGCGUGGGUCCCACCAUAGUGAAAGCGCCCCGGGCCGGGUCGAACUACGAGCGCUUCGGCGUAGCUGUUGACCCCCGAGAGGCGGAGCGUGCCGUGCGUCAUGACGCAGUUCCGUUGCGCGAGCUCCGCCCCUGCGCGUCCGGCCGCGGUGGGUUUGAACGCUGUUCCCGGGGAAACAACGGCAGUCUUGGUGCACCAUGGAACCGAGGGUAGUGAAGCCGCCGGGGCAGGAUUUGGUAGUAGAGCGUCUGAAAAGCCUCUACGGACUAGGGGCCAGGCACCUCGCCGAGUAUGAUUUUUCAAAUUUUGAUCAGGCUAAAUGGAAGAGAAGAUCUCUAACCUCCCCAGAUGAUUUGGAUAUCUUCUCAUCUGGUGAUAAAGUUGGUUCAUCAUUAAGAUGUUAUUCCGAUGGAAGAAAGCAUUGCACAACACUACUUUGUAGUUCAUUCAAACAGUUAAAUGUGAAUUGCCUAGAUGAUGAACUGGAUUCUUUUCAAGAUUUGAAGCAAAAAGAAGCAAAAGAAGACUUAAUUGAAAAUGAUUAUGGAGUUAGUACCUCCAAGAUAACCAAGCAGUCUUUUAAAGACAUAGAAAAAGUUGCCCAGCCAACUAAUUUGGCCGCAAAUUCAAGAAAUUGGACUGAAUGUUGUAGUGAUGCAAGUGACUGUCCUCUGAGACGUGUUAGCUAUCAGACAUCUAAAGUACCAAACAAGCAGAGAAUACUUCCAUAUCAGAUUAAUCAGAUAUAUGAUGAAUUAUUUCAAAUACAUCAGAAACUGCAGUGUGAAACUGCAGCCCAACAGGAGUUUGCUGAAGAACUUCAAAAGCGGGAACGUUUUUUAGUUGAAAGAGAACAACUGCUUUUCAGACAUGAAACUGCUUUGAGUAAAAUUAAAGGUGUCGAAGAAGAGGUUCUUACAAGAUUUCAGAUUAUAAAGGAGCAGCACAGUGCAGAAGUUGAGCACUUAACUGAAGUUCUUAAGGAAAGAAAUAAAGAAAGUAAGAGGCUAAGGUCCUCUUUUGAUGCAUUAAAAGAAUUGAAUGAUAACUUAAAAAAGCAGUUAAAUGAAGUAAGUGAAGAAAACAAGAAGAUGGAGAUUCAGGCUAAGAGAGUUCAAGCUCGUUUAGAUAAUUUACAGAGGAAAUACGAGUUUAUGACAAUACAGAGACUGAAAGGAAAUUCCCAUGCUGCUAACGAAAUGAAAAGUUUAAGACAAGAAAAAGUACCAGUCUCAAAAACUCACAAGGUACCACUUAAUGCACAAGUUUAUGAACUUUUAACUGUCUUCAUGGACUGGAUUUCAGAUCACCACCUUAGUAAACUAAAAAGCGAAGAAUCUGGAAUGGAUGGUGAAAAGCCCCUACUGAAAUUUGCUUCUCAGAGAAAUGAUAUUCAGGAGAAGUGUAUAAAGCUUUUGCCUGUGAUUACAGAGCAGUUACAGUGGAUGCCAUUUGUGAAUGCCAAACUUCAUCAGCCUUUUGUAAAAUUUAUAUAUUGGUCUCUAAGGCAGCUCGAUGCUGGAACACAGCAUUCAACUAUGACAUCAACAUUGAGGAGACUGGGUGAAGACAUAUUCAAAGGAGUCGUAACUAAGGGAAUUCAGGAUAAUUCUUUAGACCAUUCAGUGGAGAAUAAACCAAAGACAGCUGCUUUCUUUAAGAGCUCCAAUUUACCAUUGAGAUUUUUAUCAACUUUAAUUGUUCUCAAAACAGUCACUCAAGCUGACUACCUGGCUCAGGCGUUUGAUUCUCUGUGUUUAGACUUGAAGACAGAUGAAGGAAAAAUCUUGUUUUUGGAGUAUCAAGCUGUUCCAGUAAUACUAAAUCAUCUAAGAAUAUCCAGUAAAGGACUCCUCUCCAAUGUCAUUGAUAGUUUGCUUCAGAUGACAGUGGAAUCUAGUAAGUUUUAAAGUUUUUAGAUACACAAAGAAAGGACAGUAAGAUGAUUCUCCUCAUGUGUUCUGAAUGUAUAACUCUACCUAGACAUACUGUAUUUUAUAAUAGAAAUGGUUAAAUGUACUUUUGGCAGCUGUAUAGUAGAGUCAUUAAUAACAUUACUAGGAGUUAUGUGUCUAGAUUUCCACUAAGCACAAUUUCCAAUAUUCAGUCAUUUCAGUUAUAUAGAUAUAUUCUGCAUUGUUAGUCAUGUUUUUGAGCUUCUCUGUCUGUUCUCCCAUCUAAUCAUUCUGACAUAUGUAACCCUGUAUUCUCUGUUUGCUCAAAGGGAGUGAGAUGUUCAAGUGUAUCUCCAUCUAAAGUGAGAGUAAUGACAAAGCUACUCAUUGCCUCUUCAACCUUACUGUUUUUGUUGGAGUUUGGGGGUUGGGGGAGCACUCAUCUAUAUAUGUGGGUACUCUUUUUCAUGCAUAUUUGUAACAUUUGUAGCCUGUGGAUUUAUUUGACCUUUUUGGUUUUUAUAUUGGCAUAACAAGUUCUUCAAACUUACUAUUUUGAUGGUUCCUAAUUUAGCCCUGAUAUAUAUGGGGAUGUUGAACAUAAAUAUUUUCAUUUGCUUUGGUUGGUAUUACUCUUUGAAACUCAAGUAACCCCUUGACUUGUAACAAGCAACCAUUUUGCCUCAGUAAUUCUUUUUCACUUUAGUUUUUCCUCUUCCCUAUUCCUUCUUCCUUCUACAGUACUUCUAAAAAUGAAAUGUUUAUGCCUUUCAGAAGGUGGAAACUAAAAUUGGAAAGCCAUUGCUCAGUGUGGUAGUAAGCAGUCUGUGGAAUUUGAUGCUGCUUGUGGGCGAUUUCCUAAGAGCUGGGUAUAAACCAUAGUUAUAUUUCUAACUAGGUACAUUCAGUGUAUGGCUUCACAUUUUCAAUUCACUUUGUAUACUUUCUUGUUUUUUCCUUUACAACAUCCCUGUGAAGGGCCUGUAUAGAAAAACUGAGGCCUGGAAAAAUUAGGUAACUUGUCCAUGGUUCCACAGUGAGGCAGAGGUAGGACUUAGACUUGAAACCAGGUCUGAUUCUAGAUGUAACAAGGUACAAUUCUACUGUUGCACUGUGAUUAGGUUUUCCAGAGGCUUUUUUCCUGCUGCGAAAUGUCAAGUCUUCUCUGACAUAUUUAAUAUUUUUAGCCAUUUUUGACUAUUGGGUGUCUACCUAGAUAAGUAACGUCAGGGUUUUGUAUCUUGAUUAACUAAUGUAAGGUAUAGAGGAAAAAAGUGAAAAAUUAGUAAAAUGAGACACAGCCACCCAAGAUUACUUGUUUAAAGUGGGUAGAUUUACAGUUAAGUUUCACAGGAUUUUUCUUAAUGAAGAGAACAAAAAUUUUACCAGACGCAAAUGUCUGUUUAUUAGAAACAAAACUGUGUGAACAUUUCUAACAGAGAUGAAAUCUAGCAUGCAAAGGAAAACUAAAUAUAAUUUUAUGAAAUAGUGGGCCUACUUGGGUAAAAUGACUUUAUGGCACUGUAACAUUCAUAUUUGGAGAAAUAUAGUAGAUAAAAAGUCAACAGAUGUUCAGUUCAUUCACUCAUGUUUUCCUUUGUUCAAAUUAUUCUCAAAUCCAACGUUAUCCUUUCUUGUUCAAAUUGAGUAAAUAAAGCAAUUUCUUAUGCAGAGUGCUAGAAAGACAUGUCAUUUUUAGUGAUGGGAAACUGUUGGAAGGUUAGAAAUGAGUAAACCUUUGGGGUGCCUGGGUGGCUCAGUUGGUUAGGCAUUCGACUUCAGCUCUGGUUCAUCUCAUGGUUCAUGGGUUCUAGGCCCAUGUUGGGCUCUGUGCCAAUAUGAUGACAUAUUUCAAGUGUUGUGUUUGCAGUACUGGCUGAACCUUAUGGCUUCCUUCAGUGUCCAUUUAGGGCUUUGGAGAAAGGCUGGAGGAAGGUGUCAGUGGACCAAGCUCUAGCCUGGGAGUACUCAAAGUGCUUAGGACUGGUUCUCUAACACAGAAUCUUUGCAGCCUUUCCUGGAAGCCUGUAGCAACACUUUAUUUUUUCGUACUUGCUCAGUGCUGCUUCGAACCCCUAAGCUUGAUCUUCAAAUACUAGAAAAGCUCAGUAUUAUUCUGCAGAAACUUUCC